rnacentral:rRNA from 1 species
GACGAACGCUGGCGGCGUGCCUAAUACAUGCAAGUUGAGCGAUGAAGAUUGGUGCUUGCACCAAUUUGAAGAGCAGCGAACGGGUGAGUAACGCGUGGGGAAUCUGCCUUUGAGCGGGGGACAACAUUUGGACACGAAUGCUAAUACCGCAUAACAACUUUAAACAUAAGUUUUAAGUUUGAAAGAUGCAAUUGCAUCACUCAAAGAUGAUCCCGCGUUGUAUUAGCUAGUUGGUGGGUUAACGGCUCACCAAGGCGUUGAUACAUAGCCGACCUGAGAGGAUGAUCGGCCACAUUGGAACUGAGACACGGCCCAAACGCCUACGGGAGGCAGCAGUAGGGAAUCUUAGGCAAUGGGCGAAAGUCUGACCCAGCCACACCGCGUGAGUGAAGAAGGCUUUCGGGUCGUAAAGCCCUUUUGUUGGGAAAGAAAAGCAGUGGGAGAAGAACGCGCGUUACUGACGGUAAACAAAGAAGAAGCACCGGCUAACUUCGUG